AGCGGUGCACAGCCAUGCUCUGACCUGGGAGCAUGAACCUGCGGGAAUGUCAGCGAACAGACGGUCGCAGACCUCGAAAGCGUGUGAGGUGAAAGCCUCCGUGGGUUCAAAUCCCACCGCCA
rnacentral:tRNA from 1 species